CUCUCUCUCUCUCUCUCUCUCUCUCUCUCUCUCUCUCUCUCUCUCUCCUGUUACUCUUCUGUAAGUGGACGAACUGGUGCUGUGCAUCUCCAGAGUGAUUCAUCAGGUUAAAAGAAACUACGGUAGCAGCCAGUCACUAGCCAGCGGGUUGUGUUAACUAGGUCCAAGUCUGACCUCUCCUCUCCUCUCCACUGCUCUCUUCUUCUCUAUGGGAAACCGAACAGACCAGGACAGGACAACCCUUCUCUCCCUCAUCUCCUCUCCCCCUUUUAUGUCCCCAAAAGAGACCUCGGCACAGGACAAAGUUGCUGCUGCUGCUGGAUCUGAAAUGGAACAUUCCUUAGAGCAGUCUUCCGAGAAAGAACUCCUCCACUGACUGCUCCACUCCUCCAUAUCCUCAGCUGAACUCGGCUCUCACGCAGCACUGCUGGAUCUAUGGGCAUGGGUGGGUCUGACUGGGAGCAGCCAGAGGACAGCCAGAGGACACUCCAGAUGUCUGGGGAGACAUCUGGAGGCCCCGCCGCUGCGGGCCAGGGACGGGCACCCGGGUACGCUCGCUACCAGUCUGGCUGUGGUGGGGAGGGUUCCUGGCACAGUGAUUUGGUGCACAAAUAUAAACAAAAAUCACAUUGCCAGGGAUUUCCACCCUUACACAGGCAGCUCUCCAGGUGACCCAAGUGGCAUCGGUAUGUUCUGCCCGUCAGGGUACAUCGUUUCUGUUUCCUGUCUUGGCCAUCUGUGGUCUAUGGAAACAAGAUCAUGUCAAAUAAUACUCAACCCCAGAUAAAAGCUGUUUUCAGCUCUCACACAGGGAUUUACAGAUUACUUCCUGGUAUUAGCUCCUUACAAACGGGAACUGUAGGAAACUGAGCCUACUUUGGCAGCUUUUGCUUAUAGACAUAAGUAGUGGAUAGAUCCAAAGAGCAAAGAGUGUUUUACCUUCUAUAGAAGUCUACAAAGUACUUCCAGCUUUAGAGGAAUCAAUCAACGUUCCUCCAGACUACCAGUGAAAGUCUAUUUUCCUCAUGUGCAUCCUGUAGUGAGCAGCCACUUGCUAAAGGCACAGAGCUUAGCUAAUUGGUGAGCAUUGAUCCCUCUUAUGUGUUGUUCACAGUGGCUAAGUUCAGUGCCUGCGGUGAAAUAGUUGAUGCAGCAGGAUGUGUUCCAAACGAUGGCGAUGAACGAGCACUGGCUGAGUUCUGAGAUGUGAAGACGAAGGAAGAAGGUGGGAAGAGAGGGAGAGAUAAUGAUGGAGGAGUGAGGUGUUGCGUGGGCAUGGAGACAGAGGCAACAGCGGGACACAGCACGAUCCCCGUAAAGAGCGGAAGAAAAAAGGCUGCUGGGGGAAUGUCAGGCCAGCCCAGGCAUGCCCAGUUCCACACUCCAUCUCAGUCAGUCAGUCAGAGCACAGCGCCCGGCUUUGGCACUCAGCACUGGCACCGAUUUAUGUGGCAGAGGAUGGGACACAGCUCACCUCACCUCCUCCUCAGAGCUGAGCUGGUGUGUGGGCUAGGUUGCCCUCUUGUCACACUCUGAGCUGUGGGUGCUUGGUACUUGGUAUAGAACCAUACCAAGCUACCAUGCAACUCUGAGGCCACAUUUUGAGUGUGUGAAAUUCACUUUAUGAGUUGACAUACAUGCAAAACAUCUUGUGGGACAGUGGUCAACCCAUUUACGUGAGGCACAUUUGCAUCGUUUUUCUGAUUUCAUUUCUGUUUUUGUCGUUCUCUGUCCCCUUGUCCAUUGGUCAGUUGGUUAAUUGUGGAUCAUUAUUAUAGAGUUCUUAUGGCCUACCGUAAUGUUGUUUUGUCAAGAGGUUUAGACCUCUUGUGGUAACUGCUUAGUAAGGCAUUAAAUUGAAAGUUUCUCAGGGUUACCCAUCAAAUUGGCUACAGUAUGUUCUGUGGUUUCCUUUCGGUCUCAAUGCAGAGUGGUAGAGUGUUUCUAGAGGGAUGGACAUGGAGGGUUAAAUACUCUAUGGUUGGGGCUGUGCCCUCCUGUGCCUACUGAACUGGUAUCAGUUUGAACUCUGAGUACUGGCUCAGUUCAGCAGGAACAGGAGUGGAGCCCACUGUGUGCCAUUACGCCCUCCAAUCAGCAUGCAGAAAGACGUCCAGUACCCCAUUAGCCCUGCCCACCAGACCCCCAAGGGCUUGUGCCAUUGGCCUUGAUGAAACCCAACAUUCCUGUCAGCAUUAAACCCUGAGAUAUCAGACAGAGGCAUUGCAGCCUGUGAGAGUUGAAUGUCCCUGCUUCAAGUAUGAAUGUUUCAUAACCAGAUUUAUCACUAGGAACUGGCAGGCAGCGAGGAGAAGGUACAUUGAAUUUGCUGCAUACUGAUGCAGUUAUUCUCCUCAGACUUCAUGUUUAUUUCAGUAUGGCUUUUUUUCCCCCUGACAAUGCCGCAACCAAGCACACACGCACUCCCUAGCUCUCUGAGCCGUCAGAGAGCAAACGGAGAAACUGAAGUUCAUUGUGCGGUAAUCCAAGGGAAAUGUCUGCUAUGUCCAUGUAAUUGACGUUACCUAGAGAGCCUCAUUUUCAUCUGAUUGGGAAUGUCUGCUAUUUUACUUUAUGCUCCCCUGCCACAGAGAUAAUGUAGCACGUUAUAAAUCAGGACUUUGGAAACAUUCUUCAUUUUAAGAUUUUUUACUCGUAGGAUAAAAGAGGUUCAUUAACUACACGAUAAACCUCAGCUCAUCCAAUGGGCUGUGGAUUGUAGAUGGCAUUUGCCGCCUUUUGACAUUUUUGCAAUUACUUUUAACCUUGAAGAGAUUACCUGAAUAAAAUCUAGUUUUGUAAUAUGACAAGACUGGUGGAUUCUUAUCCUCGGGGCAUUGUUCCAAAUUCAUAUCAAUCAAACACCAUGGAUCUUUUUUUUGUAUCUAUUAGGGGAUAAAACUAGCCUAAUCCAUCAGACAGGAGAUUAACAUCAAGCUACUACUUAAAAUGUCGCAUUUGUGGUUUCUUAACUCUGAGGCAUGCUGCUCUUCCUUUGUUGUCACAGGUAUCUCUUUCAUGCUGUUCUGUGAGUCACCACUUUUGCUGUAAAUCUCAUGUAAUCCUACCACAAAAUCCAUUAAUAAAAAAGUAUUACUUCAUACAA